UGAUAGCUGAGCAUUUGGUUAUGACGGGUUU
rnacentral:piRNA from 1 species